rnacentral:rRNA from 1 species
AGUGAACGCUGGCGGUAGGCCUAACGCAUGCAAGUCGAACGGCAGCACAGUAAGAGCUUGCUCUUACGGGUGGCGAGUGGCGGACGGGUGAGGAAUACAUCGGAAUCUACUUUUUCGUGGGGGAUAACGUUGGGAAACUUACGCUAAUACCGCAUACGACCUACGGGUGAAAGCAGGGGAUCUUCGGGCCUUGCGCGAUUGAAUGAGCCGAUGUCGGAUUAGCUAGUUGGCGGGGUAAAGGCCCACCAAGGCGACGAUCCGUAGCUGGUCUGAGAGGAUGAUCAGCCACACUGGAACUGAGACACGGUCCAGACUCCUACGGGAGGCAGCAGUGGGGAAUAUUGGACAAUGGGCGCAAGCCUGAUCCAGCCAUACCGCGUGGGUGAAGAAGGCCUUCGGGUUGUAAAGCCCUUUUGUUGGGAAAGAAAAGCAGCAGGUUAAUACCCCGCUGUUCUGACGGUACCCAAAGAAUAAGCACCGGCUAACUUCGUG